rnacentral:tRNA from 1 species
UCUAAUAUGGCAGAAUAGUGCAAUGAAUUUAAGCUUCAUAUAUAGAAGAAAUACUUCUUUUUAGAA